rnacentral:rRNA from 1 species
GAUGAACGCUGGCGGCGUGCCUAAUACAUGCAAGUCGAGCGAACAGACGAGGAGCUUGCUCCUCUGAUGUUAGCGGCGGACGGGUGAGUAACACGUGGAUAACCUACCUAUAAGACUGGGAUAACUUCGGGAAACCGGAGCUAAUACCGGAUAACAUGUUGAACCGCAUGGUUCAACAGUGAAAGACGGUCUUGCUGUCACUUAUAGAUGGAUCCGCGCCGCAUUAGCUAGUUGGUAAGGUAACGGCUUACAAAGGCAACGAUGCGUAGCCGACCUGAGAGGGUGAUCGGCCACACUGGAACUGAGACACGGUCCAGACUCCUACGGGAGGAAGCAGUAGGGAAUCUUCCGCAAAGGGCGAAAGCCUGACGGAGCAACGCCGCGUGAGUGAAGAAGGUCUUCGGAUCGUAAAACUCUGUUAUUAGGGAAGAACAAAUGUGUAAGUAACUAUGCACGUCUUGACGGUACCUAAUCAGAAAGCCACGGCUAACUACGUG